UACGUAGGGGGCAAGCGUUAUCCGGAUUUACUGGGUGUAAAGGGAGCGUAGACGGCGAUGCAAGUCUGAAGUGAAAGCCCGGGGCUCAACCCCGGGACUGCUUUGGAAACUGUAUGGCUGGAGUGCUGGAGAGGCAAGCGGAAUUCCUAGUGUAGCGGUGAAAUGCGUAGAUAUUAGGAAGAACACCAGUGGCGAAGGCGGCUUGCUGGACAGUAACUGACGUUGAGGCUCGAAAGCGCGGGGAGCAAACAGG
rnacentral:rRNA from 1 species